AACACCUUAGAUGUGGUGAAUAGGGAGAGAAAGAGACCACUGGUGGCUGAGAAUGAGCCUAGUACUAACAGAGUGGUGUUGCCUGAAGACAGAGAUAGGAAAGUCGCCGUUUUAUAGGAUUUGGGUAGGUAAAGGAAAAUUACAGUCGAAGGGGGUUUGUUCUCUGGUGGGCAGGAGUGGGGGUCGCAAGAUGCUCAGUGGGGGUGCUUUUUGAGCCAGGAUGAGCCAGGAAAAGGACUUUUACAAGGUAAUGUCAUCAGUUAAGGCAAGGACCGGCCAUUUACACUUCUUUUGUGGUGGAAUGUCAUCAGUUAAGGUGGGGCAGGGCAUAUUCACUUCUUUUGUGAUUCUUCAGUUACUUCAAGCCAUCUGGGCUUAUAUGUGCAAGUCACAGGGGAUGCGAUGGCUUGGCUUGGGCUCAGAGGCCUGACAUUCCUGCCUUCUUAUAUUAAUAAGAAAAAUAAAACAAAAUAGUGUUGAAGUGUUGGGGCGGCGAAAACUUUUGGGGGGUGGUAUGGAGAGAGAAUGGGCGAUGUUUCUCAGGGCUGCUUCAAGCGGGAUUAGGGGCAGCGUGGGAACCUAGAGUGGGAGAGAUUAAGCUGAAGGGAGGUCUUGUGGUAAGGGGUGAUAUUGUGGGGAUGUUAGAAGAAACAUUUGUCUUAUAGAAUGAUUGGUGAUGGCCUGGAUACAGUUUUGUAUGAAUUGAAAAACUAAAUGGAAUAACAGAAGGAGAAAAACAGGUAUAAAAGGUCUAAGAAUUGGGACGACUCAGGAUAUCUGAUUGAUGGCUUGGAAAAACAGUGUAAACUGGCAGUGUAAACAAGAGCAGGGCAUGUUUGAGUAGUUGAGAACGGUGAAUAGGAGUAUGACUAGACAGAAAAUAGUAGGGAUGACAAGUUUUUUUUUUUUUUUUUUUUUUUUUUUUUUGAGGCACAGUCUAAGUUGGUCUUGUGUCUGGAAUGAGACUGGGGCCUAAUAAAAAAGAGCGUCUAUACAGGAGCUUAAAUCGGCCGUACCCUGUAGCAUUCCGAGAACAGGCCUGAAUUCUGAGAAGGGAAAGUGGUAAAAGUAUUGUCCAGUCCUUUUUCAGUUGGUGGCUGAGCUUGGUGAGGUGUGUUUUUAAAAGACCUUUAGUCUAUUCUACUUUUCUUGAAGGCGGAGGACCAUAAGGGAUAUAAAGGUUUCACUGAAUACUAAGAGUCUGAAAAACUGCUGGCUGAUUUGACUAAUAAAGGCUCGUCUGUUAUCAGACUGUAUUGAGGUGGGAAGGCUAAACUGAGGAAUUAUGUCUGACAGAAGGGAAGAAAUGACUGCGGUGGCCUUCUCAGACCCUGUAGGAAAGGCCUUUACUUAUUCAGUGAAAGUGUCUAUUUAGACUAAGAGGUAUUUUAGUUUCCUGACUCGGGCAUGUUGAGUAAAGCUAAUUUGCCAGUCCUGGGUGGGGCAAAUCCUCGAGCUUGAUGUGUAGGGAAGGGAGGGGGCCUGAAUAAUCCCUGGAGUAGUAGAAUAGCAGAUGGAACACUGAGAAGUUAUUUCCUUGAGGAUAGAUUUCCAUGAUGGAAAGGAAAUGAGAGGUUCUAAGAGGCAGGCUAGUGGCUUGUACUAUAGCAUAACCUGCCUUUGCCGGUGUGUGGCGAUUAGGCCUGGUGGAACCGCCAUCAAUAAAUCAAGCGUGAUCAGGGUGAGGAACAGGAAAGAAGGAAAUUUGGGGAAAUGGGGUGAAUGUCAGGUGGAUCCGAGAGAUACAGUCAUGAGGGUCAGGUGUGGUAUCAGGUAUAAUGUGGGAGGCCGGAUUGAAGUCCGGGCCAGGAACAAUGGUAAUUGUGGGAGACUCAACAAAGAGUGAGUAUAGCUGAAGGAGCGGGGAAGCAGAAAGUACAUGCGUCAGGUAUGAGGAAGAAAACAGAUUUUGGAAGUUAUGAGAACUGUAGAGAGUGAGUUGAGCAUAGUUUGUGAUUUUGAGGGCCUCUAAAAGUAUUAAAGCAGCGGCAGCCGCCGCACACAGACAUGAGGGCUAGGCUAAAACAGUAAGGUCAAGUUGUUUGCAGAGAAAGGCUACAGGGUGCGGUCCUGGCUCUUGUGUAAGAAUUCUGACCGCACUAACUAUGCCUAGGAAGGAAAGCAGUUGUUGUUUUGUAAGGGAUUGAGGUUUGGGAGAUUAAUUGGACACGAUCAGCAGGGAAAGCACGUAUGUUUUUAUGAGAAUUAUGCCGAGAUAGGUAACAGAUGAGGAUGAAAUUUGGGCUUGACUGAAGUAAUGGGGGCUGUCUAUGAAGCCUUGCGGCAGUACAGCCUUGGUAAUUUGCUGAGCCUAAUGGGUGUCAGGGUCAGUCUAAGUGAAAGCAAGGAGAGGCUGGGAUGAGGGAUGCAGGGGAAUAGUGAAAAAAGCAUCUUUAAGAUCAAGCACGGAAUAGUGAGUUGUGAAGGAAGGUAUUGAGGACAAAAGAGUGUAUGGGUUGGGCACCACAGGGUGGAUAGGCAAAACAAUUUGGUUGAUAAGGCGUAGACCCUGAACUAACUUGUAAGGCUUGUCUGGUUUUAGGACAGGUAAAAUGGGGGAAUUGUAAGGAGAGUUUAUAGGGUUUAAAAGGCCAUGCUGUAGCAGGCGAGUGAUAACAGGCUUUAAUCUUUUUAAAGCGUGCUGCGGGAUGGGAUAUUGGCGUUGAGUGGGGUAAGGGUGAUUAGGUUUUAAUGAGAUCCAGGAAUAGUCAGGGAAGCAGAUUAUUUAGUUAAAGUGUCUCAGCCUAAUAAGGGAACUGGGCAGGUGGGGAUAACUAGAUUAAGAAGGGGACGGGCUCACCUUCCACUGUGAGAGUUACCUGAAGCUCGGUGUCCGUGAUGGUCUAGGGGGCUUCCGAGGCGAUCGGGCAGUGUCAGUCUUCAGCCGCUAAGCCGAGAAGAUCUGGGAAGGAGUCAGAGAGCGUUCCCGGGGCUCUGGGAGUGGCUGCCAGGUGAGUUGAACAGUCUGAUUUUCCGUGGGGUCCCACACAGAUGGGAUGCAGCUUAGGAGGAAUCCCAGGCUGCGGGCAUUCCUUGGCCCAGUGGCCAGAUUUCCGGCAUGUGUAGCAAGCUCCUGGGGGAGGAGGUUCUGGAGGAACGCCUGGCCACUGCAGUUCAGGUGUUUGGAAGUUCUUGUGUGCUGGAGAUGUGGCUGGGGUUUGUCUCACAGUGGAGGCAAGGAAUUGCAACUUUUUUUCUGUUAUUGUACACCUUGUAGGUGAGGUUAAUUAAGUCCUGUUGUGUGGUUUGAGGGCCAGAUUCCAAUUUUUGGAGUUUUAUUUAAUGUUGGGAGCAGAUUGGGUAAUAUAAUGUAUAUUGAGAAUAAGACGGCCUUUUGACCUUUUAGGGUCUAGGGCUGUAAAGCGUUUCAGGGUUGCUGCCAAAAGAGCCAUGAACUGGGCUGGGUUUUUAUGUUUGAUGAGAAAGAGCCUAAAUGCUUCUGAUUUGGGAUAAAGAAAAAGGAGCAUUAACCUUGACUAUGCCUUUGGCUCCAGCCACCUUUUUAAGAGUAAAUUGCUGGGCAGGUGGGGGAGGGCUAGUCACGGAACGAAACUGUAAGCUAGACCAGGUGUGAGGAGGGGAGGCGAUAAAAAGAUUAUAGGGUGGAGAAGCGGAGGCUGAGGAAGAAUUGGGACCUAGCUCGGCCUGGCGAGGAGCAGCCUGGGGAGGAAGGGAGAGGUCAGAUGGGUCUGUAGAAAAGGAAGAUUAGAAAGACUCAGCGACACUUGGGGUUGGUACUGAGGGGACAGGCGGGAGGGAAAGAAGGAAGAUUUGGGACGAGUUGCACUGGGCACAGAGACUAGGAAGGGACUGAUGUGUAAAAGAAUGCCUGGACGUCAGGCACCUCAGACCGUUUGCCUAUUUUAUGACAAGAAUUAUUUAGAUUUCGCAGGAUGGAAAAAUUCAAAGUGCCAUUUUCUGGCUAUUUGGAACUACUGUCGAGUUUGUAUUGGGGUCAAGAGGCAUUGCAGAAGAAAAUAAGGCAUUUAGGUUUUAGGUCAGGUGUGAGUUGAAGAGGUUUUAAGUUUUUGAGAACACAGGCCAAGGGAGUAGAAGGAGGAAUGGAGGGUGGAAGUUUGCCCAUAGUGAAGGAAGCAAGCCUAGAGAAAAGAGAGAGUAGAGAAACGGAGGGAAGGCGUUCGGGGGUUCUUACCUUCCAGAAAAGUGGGAAAAGGGGUUGGGGCGCAGAGAUAAGAGGUCAGGGCAUGGAAAUAAGGGAUUGGGGUGCAGAGAUAUAAGAGGUUGGGGCAUGGAAAUAAGGGAUUGGGACACAGAGAUAUGAGGUAGGGGCACGGAAAUAAGGGAUUGGGGCACAGAGAUAAGAGGUAGGGGCACAGAAAUAAGGGAUUGGGGCACAGAGAUAAGAGGUUGGGGUGCGGAAAUAAGGGAUGGGGGCACAGAGGUAAGAGGUCGAGGUGUGGAAAUAGGGGAUUGGGGUGCAGAGAUAAGAGGUUGGGGCACAGAAAUAAGGGAUUGGGGCACAGAGAUAAGAGGUUGGGGCACAGAAAUAAGGGAUUGGGGCACAGAGAUAAGAGGUUGGGGCAUGGAAAUAAGAGAUUGGGGCACAGAGAUAAGAGGUUGGGGCGUGAAAAUAAGGGAUUGGGGGUUCUUGCCCCGUAGAAAAGCGGGACUUGCCGCUAAGGGUGAAGGAGAAGGGGUUGAGGGGUACUUGCCCCUCUCCCAGAAAAGCAGAGAAGGGGUAGAGACAAGGAGAGAAGGGGUUGAGGUACUUGCCCUUUUGGGUGUUUAAUCAGAGAGGCGUCCCUGCAAUGAUUAAACACCAAGGGAAGGCUGCCUUCCCAGUCCGUGACUGGCGCCGGAGUUUUGGGUCCAUGGAUAAAACGUGUCUCCUUUGUCUCUCCCAGAAAAUGAAAGGAAUUGAAAUUAAGAGAAGGGAGAGGUUGAAGAGUGGAAAGGAGAAAGUGGUUGAGGGACAGUGAGAGAGGUUGGAGAAGAGAGUAAGAAGAGGCCGCUUACCUGAUUUAAAAUUGGUAAGAUGUUCCUUGGGCUGGUCGGUCUGAGGACCUAAGGUCAUAGGUGGAUCUUUCUCACGGAGCAAAGAACAGGAGUACAGGGGAUUGAUCUCCCAAGGGAGGUCCCCCGAUCCGAGUCACAGCACCAAAUUUCAUGCGCGUCCGUGUGAAGAGACCACCAAACAGGUUUUGUGUGAGCAACAUGGCUGUUUAUUUCACCUGGGU
rnacentral:lncRNA from 1 species